rnacentral:rRNA from 1 species
AUUGAACGCUGGCGGCAGGCCUAACACAUGCAAGUCGAACGAGUGGCGGACGGGUGAGUAAUGUCUGGGAAACUGCCCGAUGGAGGGGGAUAACUACUGGAAACGGUAGCUAAUACCGCAUACCAUCGGAUGUUCCCAGAUGGGAUUAGCUAGUAGGUGGGGUAACGGCUCACCUGGGCGACGAUCCCUAGCUGGUCUGAGAGGAUGACCAGCCAAACUGGAAGUGAGACACGGUGCAGACUCCUACGGGAGGCAGCAGUGGGGAAUAAUGAACAAUGGGCGCAAGCCUGAUGCAGCCAUGCCGCAUGUAUGAAGAAGGCCUUCGGGUUGUAAAGUACUUUCAGCGAGGAUGCGUUACUCGCAGAAGAAGCACCGGCUAACUCCGUGCCAGCGGCCGCGGUAGUUC